UUUGUCAUUUUUAUGGCUUUCUGAUGUUGUGUCAGUUUUUUUGUUGUUGUUGUUGUUUUUGGAAAGCCCUGUAGAAAAUAAACCUCCUUUGCAGAAGAAUUUUGGGGAUUAGUCUGGGCAAACAGUUUUACUCAGCUCAUUACUGAUACUGUUUCUUUGUCAGUCAUCACRUAUUUGUUUUAACAUUUCUAAUUUUUUUUAUUUGUCAGUUGAAACUUACGUUUUCUCUGAUGGUGACUCAUCCAUCUGUAACUAGAGCAAAAAUUCCAGAAAAGAAAGGAAGUGCUUAUUGCAGCAGUGCCGUCCUCCUCCCAGAAAGUUGAUUCUCCAAGUUUGGACUGCAAUGCUGAAUGUUACUGUGCAUCACCCCUCUGUGAAGACUUAGAAGGCGAAAUAGGUGUUAUCUCUGCAGCCAGGAGUGCCAGGUCCUUUUGCUGGAUGUUUUCCAGCGACCUUUGGAGUCCCUGCAGGGAGUGAAGGGCCCUGUCUCGCGUCACCCGCCGGUGGUUCCACGAGAGUCUGAUGCUGCCCCAUCAGCCUGCCACGUGAUCAGUCUGGCAGUGAAAUCACUCUGCAGCAGGGUCAACAUGCUACAGAUGAGGAUUUCAGCACAAUAUUCCAACCUAUACCCCAAGAUCAUGUCCACAGUACAAACAAGGACUGCUUAGAAAGUAUGAUAAAAACCUAAGCCAUGCUGUUCCAUCUUCAUUUUAAAAAUCCUUUGAGGUCCACAAGUUAUGUCUAAGUCAGUGGUAAGGUUUUUCACUACUUAAGUGGCCUUCCCAAAAUGUAUCAACUCAUCUUUGUAAAUGUGCCUUCUGAAAACCAGAAGAUUGGAGAUUGACUUUUUUUGGUCUUCUGGUCUGUUGCCAAAGUUGUGGUUAUCCCAGUAAACUACCUGUUGCAUUAAAAGCAUAUGUAUGCAUACUGCUACAGGAUGACUGCAUGAAUAUUUUUAAAGUAUUAAUGCUAAAUCAAAACACAUAAUAGACAAAUGGGUAAUUUUUUCCAGUGAUUCAGUGUCACAGUGCAAUGUUCAUGGAGAUAUCCUCUAGGACAGUUACCAGUAUAUGUGUUCAGUCUUAGCUACUUCUUCAGUUAAUAUUGCAAAUGAGUAUUUUUAGGAGAAGCUGAUAAUCAUAACACACUUCUGACAUCAGAGUGAAUUACUCGUAUGAGUGAGGGGAUGCUAUUGCUCCAACUAGCAGGAUUUCCUUAAAUAAUGAUGCUAACCUAGAUGCAGAGUCCAGCUGGCUUUAUGCAUGACAAGUCUAUAGACACCUGUCUAUUACGUCAUGUCAGUAUUUAGUUUUAGGUGCAGUUCUUGCAGCUCUGGGCAUUUACAGUUGUGAGGCUAAGUUCCCUGUACAGCUCAUGUAGCAUCUAAGUUAAAGGCCUGAAUUCAGAGCUAACUGUGUGCAAACACAGGUAGGGAGCUACGUUUCUAGAUUUACCAGCAGGUUAAACCUCCAUUUUUGGAUUAUAUYGUGAAUGAUAUAAUGAGAAGUGGCUAGCUGUAUACAGUACUAGUAGCUGCAAUCUUUGGAGAGUAUUUGGGACCACUGCCCCUAAAAGCAGAGUUGGGACCUGAGUGGGGAGCAUGUUAGCUGCCCUAUUACUGUUCUGCUGUGUAAUUUUUCUGCUAGCUGAGGGUCUGAACCAGUUCCUACACAGAUCAGUGAGAGUCUUCAUGCUCAAUUCAGUGGGGUAGGGGCAGGGUCUGUAAAAAAUAAACUGUAUUUCUGAUAUGUUCCCUUAAGCCA
rnacentral:lncRNA from 1 species